rnacentral:rRNA from 1 species
AGCAGCCGCGGUAAUUCCAGCUCCAAUAGCGUAUAUUAAAGUUGUUGCAGUUAAAAGCUCGUAGUUGAAUUUUGGGUCUGGCCGGGCGGUCCGCCCUCUGGGUGAGCACUGUUCCGACGUCGGGCCUAUCCUUCUGGUGAGUCGGCAUGUCCUUUAUUGGGUGUGUCGGGGGAAACCAGGACCAUUACCUUGAAAAAAUUAGAGUGUUCAAAGCAGGCGUAUGCUCGGAUACAUUAGCAUGGAAUAAUGAAAUAGGACGCGUGGUGCUAUUUUGUUGGUUUCUAGAACCGCCGUAAUGAUUAAUAGGGAUAGUUGGGGGCAUUAGUAUUCAAUUGUCAGAGGUGAAAUUCUUGGAUUUAUUGAAGACUAACUUCUGCGAAAGCAUUUGCCAAGGAUGUUUUCAUUAAUCAAGAACGAAAGUUAGGGGAUCGAAGACGAUCAGAUACCGUCGUAGUCUUAACCAUAAACUAUGCCGACUAGGAAUCGGGCGAUGUUAUUCUCAUGACUCGCCCGGCGCCUU